AGAGUUUGAUCCUGGCUCAGAACGAACGCUGGCGGCAUGCCUAAUACAUGCAAGUCGAACGAUCCUUUCGGGGAUAGUGGCGCACGGGUGCGUAACGCGUGGGAAUCUGCCCUUGGGUUCGGAAUAACUUCGGGAAACUGAAGCUAAUACCGGAUGAUGACGAAAGUCCAAAGAUUUAUCGCCCAGGGAUGAGCCCGCGUAGGAUUAGCUAGUUGGUGGGGUAAAGGCCUACCAAGGCGACGAUCCUUAGCUGGUCUGAGAGGAUGAUCAGCCACACUGGGACUGAGACACGGCCCAGACUCCUACGGGAGGCAGCAGUGGGGAAUAUUGGACAAUGGGCGAAAGCCUGAUCCAGCAAUGCCGCGUGAGUGAUGAAGGCCUUAGGGUUGUAAAGCUCUUUUACCCGGGAUGAUAAUGACAGUACCGGGAGAAUAAGCUCCGGCUAACUCCGUGCCAGCAGCCGCGGUAAUACGGAGGGGGCUAGCGUUGUUCGGAUUUACUGGGCGUAAAGCGUACGUAGGCGGUUACUCAAGUCAGAGGUGAAAGCCCGGAGCUCAACUCCGGAACUGCCUUUGAAACUAGGUAACUAGAAUCUUGGAGAGGUCAGUGGAAUUCCGAGUGUAGAGGUGAAAUUCGUAGAUAUUCGGAAGAACACCAGUGGCGAAGGCGACUGACUGGACGACUGUUGACGCUGAAGCACGAAAGCGUGGGGAGCAAAUAGGAUUAGAUACCCUAGUAGUCCACGCCGUAAACGAUGAAUACUAAGUGUUGGAGAAAUUCAGUGCUGCAGUUAACGCAAUAAGUAUUCCGCCUGGGGAGUAUGCACGCAAGUGUGAAACUCAAAGGAAUUGACGGGACCCCGCACAAGCGGUGGAUUAUGUUGUUUAAUUCGACGCAACGCGAAGAACCUUACCAGGCCUUGACAUACUCAGCAAAACCCUAGAGAUAGGGUGGAGGUUAUCUGGGAUACAGGUGGUGCAUGGUUGUCGUCAGCUCGUGUCGUGAGAUGUUGGGUUAAGUCCCGCAACGAGCGCAACCCUUGUCUUUAGUUACCAUCAUUCAGUUGGGGACUCUAGAGAGACUGCCGGUGAUAAACCGGAGGAAGGUGGGGAUGACGUCAAAUCAUCAUGCCCCUUAUGGCCUGGGCUACAAACGUAAUACAAUGGCGUAUACAAAGGGAUGCGAAAGGGUGACCUGGAGCAAAACUCACAAAGUACGUCUCAGUUCAGAUUGGAGUCUGCAACUCGACUCCAUGAAGGCGGAAUCGCUAGUAAUCGCGGAUCAGAAUGUCGCGGUGAAUACGUUCUCGGGGUUUGUACACACCGCCCGUCAAA
rnacentral:rRNA from 1 species